rnacentral:rRNA from 1 species
AAGUCGAGCGGAGAUGAGGUGCUUGCACCUUAUCUUAGCGGCGGACGGGUGAGUAAUGCUUAGGAAUCUGCCUAUUAGUGGGGGACAACAUUCCGAAAGGAAUGCUAAUACCGCAUACGUCCUACGGGAGAAAGCAGGGGAUCUUCGGACCUUGCGCUAAUAGAUGAGCCUAAGUCGGAUUAGCUAGUUGGUGGGGUAAAGGCCUACCAAGGCGACGAUCUGUAGCGGGUCUGAGAGGAUGAUCCGCCACACUGGGACUGAGACACGGCCCAGACUCCUACGGGAGGCAGCAGUGGGGAAUAUUGGACAAUGGGGGGAACCCUGAUCCAGCCAUGCCGCGUGUGUGAAGAAGGCCUUAUGGUUGUAAAGCACUUUAAGCGAGGAGGAGGCUACUGAGACUAAUACUCUUGGAUAGUGGACGUUACUCGCAGAAUAAGCACCGGCUAACUCUGUGCCAGCAGCCGCGGUAAUACAGAGGGUGCGAGCGUUAAUCGGAUUUACUGGGCGUAAAGCGUGCGUAGGCGGCUUUUUAAGUCGGAUGUGAAAUCCCCGAGCUUAACUUGGGAAUUGCAUUCGAUACUGGGAAGCUAGAGUAUGGGAGAGGAUGGUAGAAUUCCAGGUGUAGCGGUGAAAUGCGUAGAGAUCUGGAGGAAUACCGAUGGCGAAGGCAGCCAUCUGGCCUAAUACUGACGCUGAGGU